CCGCAGCAGGGAUGGAAGUGGUUAUCCUUUUUUUGGGGCGGGCAAGAGCCUUAGCAAAAAAAAGAUAGAAACGGACAGCCCGGCCGCCA
rnacentral:sRNA from 1 species